rnacentral:rRNA from 1 species
AGAGUUUGAUCCUGGCUCAGGAUGAACGUUGGCGGUGUGCCUAAUACAUGCAAGUCGAACGGAGUUAAUAGCAAUAUUGACUUAGUGGCGAACGGGUGAGUAACGCGUUGGUGAUCUGCCUCGAAGUGUGGAAUAACGUUCCGAAAGGAACGCUAAUACCGCAUGUGCUCUCGAUUUUUAGAAACUUGAGAGUAAAGGAUUUAUUCGCUUCGAGAGGAGCCUGCGUCCCAUCAGCUGGUUGGUAGGGUAACGGCCUACCAAGGCUAUGACGGGUAGGGGACCUGAGAGGGUGGCCCCCCACAAUGGAACUGAAACACGGUCCAUACACCUACGGGUGGCAGCAGUAGGGAAUAUUAGAAAUGGACGAAAGUCUGAUCUAGCAACACCGCGUGUGCGAAGAAGGCCUUCGGGUCGUAAAGCACUUUUUGGAAGGAAUAGGAAGGAAUGUACUUCCAGAAUAAGUCUCGGCUAACUACGUGCCAGCAGCCGCGGUAACACGUAGGAGGCAAACGUUAUCCGGAUUUACUGGGCGUAAAGCGCGUGUAGGUGGUACUGUAAGUAGGGCGUGAAAGCUCCCGGCUCAACUGGGAGAGGCCGUUCUAAACUGCAGAACUAGAGGAUGGUAGAGGGAGGUGGAAUUCCAGGUGUAGCGGUGGAAUGCGCAGAUAUCUGGAGGAACACCAGUGGCGAAGGCGGCCUCCUGGACCAUUCCUGACACUCAGACGCGAAAGCUAGGGUAGCAAACGGGAUUAGAGACCCCGGUAGUCCUAGCCCUAAACGAUGUAGACUAGGCGUCGGUGGUUUAAUCACCAUCGGUGUCCAAGCUAACGCGAUAAGUCUACCGCCUGGGGACUACGGCCGCAAGGUUAAAACUCAAAGGAAUUGACGG